rnacentral:lncRNA from 1 species
GGGAGAGGGCAUACGAAGUCAUUGUCUGAAAUUUCUAUAACCUUGCUCUGGAUGGAGCAGGGCAAGGCCUCAAACCGUUUCAAAACUGUUCUAGCAAGCACUGAAGGAAUGCAUAGGGUCACCGCAGACCCAAGCACGCUGGAGGCUUGCUACCCUCAUUCACCCAAAUCCCCCACACUCAAGGAAUCUGGCAGUCCACUCUCACUAAGCACCAGUCCCUGCUGGGGGCUGUGGGAAGAGACCAGAGUUCAAUUAGGCACCUGAGCUUGGUUCCAGGAGCCCAGAGCUACUAAUGACUCUCAGGGAAAGAUCCUUUCUGGCUGAGGAAGAAGGGAAGGUGUCUUGGAAGAGAUAACCUUAUUAAAUUAUUAAAUAGAUCAGACAACACGAACUAAACUUCCACAUUAUUCUAUGACACUACAAUUCUAGCAUGGCUUUUCACUGUGACCAGAAACAUCCUUAUCAUCAUGUAGUUAAUAUAAAUACUGCCUUUUCCCCUUCAUUUUUUUCUCAUGUA